CAAUUAUUUCUUGGGUCAAAGCACUGACCCAAUUAGACCCAGUAAACUUAUAUAAUAACUGGGCUUUUAACUAAAAACCUAAUAAACCCAAUUAACCCAAAAAUAAUAAGCCCAAUCUCUCUGAGCCUCUCGACUCUCUCUACCUCUUCGUUUCUAUCUUCAUGAAUUUGGGGAUUAGGGUUUCCAAACUCAAAUUAGGCAUUUCUCACUGAUUUCAUUAAUGAUUUUCACCCAAAAUCACCAAUUCUCACAAUCUGUUGCAGCAUCCUCUCUCUCUCUCUCUCUCGCUCUAUAUAUAUAUAUAUAUAUAUAUUUUUUUUUUUUGCUUUUGUAUCAUUGUGGAUGGCAUUUUCAUUUCCCAUGUAUUUGUUUCUUCCUUUACUAUUCAUCUUUGGUCUCUCUAUCACAAUGUGCUGUUUGGUUGGUGAGAAUUUUUAGUCUCUCUUUUCAGGAGGUUAUAAAAAUUCAUGCAGUUGGAUCUAGUAUGUAGAUACAAGUUGAUGUUAUGAUAAUUUUGGUUUUUGAAUCUUUCUUGUUAGAACAUUACAAAUUUGUUGCGCUUGUGUGACAAUUUUUAACUACUUUUUAGAGCUUAUAAAUUGCUUUAUAGUUUUUUAUCCAAUACUAUGUAUUGUUUAAUUUAUACUAUGGUGUUGCAUUGGUGCUUAAUAUAUAUGUUGAUGCAAAGAAACAAGGUUAGGACUUGAGACAGUAAUCGUACCUCACAACGAUGUACUUUAUUAGUGGGACGGACAUUGGGCAAUCGCAUUAUGCUUAAGGAUAGAAGAAAUUUUUCUUUGCAUUCUUUUUUGAGAUAUUAGAUGAACUUUUGACAAUCUAAAGAAAUACUAUAAUUUCAAUUGCUAAAAAAGAGAAACGCAUACACUGUAUAUGUUCAUUUAUCUAUUAGUCAAUAUUUCAUGGCAUAUCUUGAAAUAAUUAUUUUCACUCAUGAAACAAUAAAUUUUGAAGUUCAUGUCCUAUUUUUAUGUUAAUGUUUUGUUUUUUUGUGACAGAAAUCCACCAACAAAAUUGCUGGUGGUUUUAGAGAAACUCACAACAUACUCCUUUUGAUAAGUUCAAGAUUCUAAAGCUUUCCUAGGUAAUCCCUUUUACAUGUUUGAAUAUCUCAACUCUAAAGGAGGCCUAAGUGUAGCAUAAAGAUGUGGAGUUGUUAAACUCCAUUGGUCACCACCAUGAUUAUACCAAGGAGUGUUUAGGAAGUUUCCUAAGGUCCUCUUAAGCACCUAGGCAGUGCACCAUCAGAAAUAGAGAGAGCUGAACUAAUCAACAUGUGAACACCUUGAUUUCCAUUAAGCCAAAUUCCUUUGUCUUCUUUGCACUGAAUCAAAAACAGAAUAAUGCAAAAACUUUUUCUUUAAUAAGCAUUCAUUUUGCAAUAAUGCAUUUCUUUUCAGCGUAUAUGUAUCAUGUUGGUUGAUUUAUAUGUAAAUUUGUUAUUUUUGAAGUUGGUGAUUUUAAAUAUUUGAUGCGUUUAAGUUCGUUAUAAUGUCACUAUGUCAGGUUUACAUGCUCAAGGAGAGGAAUAAGUGCUAUGGUACAAUCAAGUUUAUUGAUAUAAGUUCUGAUGAUUAUUCUCUAGAGGAGAAUCAAGGCCUAAACUACAACUUUGUAUGUUCUAAACAGUACUGAAAUUUUCAGUAGACACAAUUUGCUGGUUUAAGAGGGUUUGGUUAGGGCUGUAAGAUAAGAAAUAGAAAAUGAAGUAUGUAUGAAAGCAACACUACCUGGUAGUCAUUUCAAUAUGAUUUCAGAGACUAAUAUGUUACUGUCACAAUUUGCUGGUUUAAGAGGGUUUGGUAGGAGCUAUAAGAUAAGAAGUAGAAAAUGAAUUAUAUGUGAUAGUAACACUACCUCUUGGUCGUAUCCAAUAUGACUUCACUGACUAAUAUUACUUUUUUUGGUGGCUUUUAUGGAUCAUAAGAAAUUUUCUGAAAAAUCCAGCAUGAAACCUUGUAGCUGCAUGGUUUGGCCAUAGGAAAGUAAAUGAUAACUUUGUAGAAUACAAUGUAGAGCAUAUUAACUUUGUGGUAUGUAUACAUAGAUUUUAGAGCACCUCUUUUGUCAGAUUUAUUACAAUACAGUGAUGAAGUCUGUUUAUUGUUUAGGUUAUGGGAAGGAUUCGCUCAAUCCUCUGAUGGAACUGUUGUCACUGGUGUUGAAGUUCGCCCCAUUUCCUACUCUUUUUCCCCAUAUAAUUAUACAUUAAUUGUGCUAGCACUUCUUAUUUUACUUUUCUUUCCAAAUUUCCACCAAGUCUGAGUUCACUAUCUUGAAUUAAUCAAGUCUAAUUUCUUUGUGUUGAGAGGAUUAUCAAGUCUAAUUUCCAUCACGUGUGCAUGUCACCUAUGCUAUGUGAAUAUGUACUAAUUUGUGUUUCGGUGGUCCAACCCGUGAAAGUUAUAGGAUAAAUGGGGGAAAGAAAACCCCCACCAAUAGAUUGUGGCUAUUCCAUGACUGGAAUCAAUUAGUACAAGUUCAAGAUUGUAAACCUUGAACUUUAAUGUGUUCUAGACAAUCACUAAUUGUUCGAAUAUCUAAACUCUCAAGGAGGCCUAAAUGCAGCAUAAUGAUGUGGAACUAUGAAGUGCCAAUGAUCACCACCAUGAUUCUAUCAUUCUAUUAAUGCUUGCAUAGGAAGCUUACUGAGGUCCUCUUAUAGGCACAUGGGGAAUGAUAUUUCUCACUAAGCCAAUUUCCUUAUCCGUCGCCUUUCCAAUGAUUAAACAACUUUGUCAAUAGUAAAUACAAUGGUGUGGGACACAUUUGGGAUUCUUUAGAUGUAGAAUCUGUUUGAAGAAGCUGGCUAAAGAACUCUGAUAAGACUUUUCUUUCAGUUGUAUUAUCUGAGAUUCAUUUUAACCAAGAAAAAAGAAUUUAAAUGACAACUUUUGCAGGCAGUUAGAAGACUAAACAAGUUGGCCUUGGAUGGGUUUAUGCCAUUACCAAAUAUGAACCUGAAAGUUUCUUUGUUCUUCCAAAUUUUACCCGUAGUUCAAUCAAAAUGCUACCAUCUUGCAGACGAAUAGUGUUUUGGAUAAUGCUCCCUUGUCCUUUUCUCAUUAUUUGUACUUAAUAUAACAAUAUGCAUUUAACAGAUUGCAACAAUAACAGAUGUCAUAUAUGGUGUUUGGGCUAAAUACCAUCUUCAAUAACAGGCCAACAACCUUUAGAAGAACACGGAUUACCAUAUUUGAGGUAUAUGGUGCUGAUUCAUGUUGGACGUUCUGUUUUCAUUACAGGAUGAAGUAUGUAAUGACAGAAAUUCAUAUAAGAUGUGAACUUUCUCAAUAAUUGCCAGAAGUCCUAGCUUUCCAGGCUCGCUCUUCAUUUGCUUACAUAUAUGAUCUUCAAAAUUGAGCUCGAUUUGAGCUCAUAGCUAGAACUUGUAACAAGAUGAAGAGUUAUGGCAGUCCACAUACAUUUUUCAAUUAAUUUUAAUCAUCUAAUAGUCUAGCAAGUUGAUGCUCUUAUAAUGCAUAAUGAUGUGAUAAUUGACUUUUGUUGGAUGGGAAAAUGAAGAUAACCAAGCAAGCUCACUUUGGAAUUAGUUUAUCAAAGCUUUUGCUUAUCAUUCCAAGCCAAUAUCCACUUUGAAGUCCAACGGUUGAUAAGGAUUGAAGAGAUGAGUCUAGAGAGGUCUAGACGUUCAUGGGAAUUAGUUUCUGUUUGUAUAUAAGGUUUGACAAUUUGAUUGAUUCUCAAACUUUAUAAGAGUUUCUCAAA